UAGGGAAUCUUCGGCAAUGGACGGAAGUCUGACCGAGCAACGCCGCGUGAGUGAAGAAGGUUUUCGGAUCGUAAAGCUCUGUUGUAAGAGAAGAACGAGUGUGAGAGUGGAAAGUUCACACUGUGACGGUAUCUUACCAGAAAGGGACGGCUAACUACGUGCCAGCAGCCGCGGUAAUACGUAGGUCCCGAGCGUUGUCCGGAUUUAUUGGGCGUAAAGCGAGCGCAGGCGGUUAGAUAAGUCUGAAGUUAAAGGCUGUGGCUUAACCAUAGUACGCUUUGGAAACUGUUUAACUUGAGUGCAAGAGGGGAGAGUGGAAUUCCAUGUGUAGCGGUGAAAUGCGUAGAUAUAUGGAGGAACACCGGUGGCGAAAGCGGCUCUCUGGCUUGUAACUGACGCUGAGGCGCGAAAGCGUGGGGAGCAAACAGGAUUAGAUACCCUGGUAGUCCACGCCGUAAACGAUGAGUGCUAGGUGUUAGACCCUUUCCGGGGUUUAGUGCCGCAGCUAACGCAUUAAGCACUCCGCCUGGGGAGUACGACCGCAAGGUUG
rnacentral:rRNA from 1 species